ACGAACGCUGGCGGCGUGCCUAAUACAUGCAAGUCGAGCGCGGGAAGCGGACUCGUCACCCUUCGGGGUGUCUAGUCCGUGGAACGAGCGGCGGAUGGGUGAGUAUCACGUGGGCAACCUGCCUGUAAGAUUGGGAUAACUCGCGGAAACGUGAGCUAAUACCGAAUGAAGUCUUUCACCGCCUGGUGAAAGGAUGAAAGAUGGCUUUUAGCUAUCACUUACAGAUGGGCCCGCGGCGCAUUAGCUAGUUGGUGGGGUAAAGGCCUACCAAGGCGACGAUGCGUAGCCGACCUGAGAGGGUGAUCGGCCACACUGGGACUGAGACACGGCCCAGACUCCUACGGGAGGCAGCAGUAGGGAAUCUUCCGCAAUGGACGAAAGUCUGACGGAGCAACGCCGCGUGAGUGAUGAAGGUCUUCGGAUCGUAAAACUCUGUUGUCAGGGAAGAACAAGUUGUGUUCUAACAGGACAUGACCUUGACGGUACCUGACCAGAAAGCCCCGGCUAACUACGUGCCAGCCGCUGC
rnacentral:rRNA from 1 species